rnacentral:sRNA from 1 species
AGCGAAUAAAUGCUCAGAAAGGCGUUUUGUUUCAAGAGGAUCAGAUUUUGGACUGGUUUGUACAGAUAUGUUUGGCCCUGAAACAUGUACAUGAUAGAAAAAUUCUUCAUCGAGACAUUAAAUCUCAGAACAUAUUUUUAACUAAAGAUGGAACAGUACAACUUGGAGAUUUUGGAAUUGCUAGAGUUCUUAAUAGUACUGUGGAGCUGGCUCGAACUUGCAUAGGGACCCCAUACUACUUGUCACCUGAAAUCUGUGAAAACAAACCUUACAAUAAUAAAAGUGACAUUUGGGCUCUGGGGUGUGUCCUUUAUGAGCUGUGUACACUUAAACAUGCUUUUGAAGCUGGCAGUAUGAAAAACCUGGUACUGAAGAUAAUAUCUGGAUCUUUUCCACCUGUGUCUUUGCAUUAUUCCUAUGAUCUCCGCAGUUUGGUGUCUCAGUUAUUUAAAAGAAAUCCUAGGGAUAGACCAUCAGUCAACUCCAUAUUGGAGAAAGGUUUUAUAGCCAAACGCAUUGAAAAGUUUCUCUCUCCUCAGCUUAUUGCAGAAGAAUUUUGUCUAAAAACAUUUUCAAAGUUUGGAUCACAGCCUAUACCAGCUAAAAGACCAGCUUCAGGACAAAACUCGAUUUCUGUUAUGCCUGCUCAGAAAAUUACAAAGCCUGCCGCUAAAUAUGGAAUACCUUUAGCAUAUAAGAAAUACGGAGAUAAAAAAUUACACGAAAAGAAACCACUGCAAAAACAUAAACAGGCCCAUCAAACUCCAGAGAAGAGAGUGAAUACUGGAGAAGAAAGGAGGAAAAUAUCUGAGGAAGCAGCAAGAAAGAGAAGGCUGGAAUUUAUUGAAAAAGAAAAGAAACAAAAGGAUCAGAUUAUUAGUUUAAUGAAGGCUGAACAAAUGAAAAGGCAAGAAAAGGAAAGGUUGGAAAGAAUAAAUAGGGCCAGGGAACAAGGAUGGAGAAAUGUGCUAAGUGCUGGUGGAAGUGGUGAAGUAAAGGCUCCUUUUCUUGGCAGUGGAGGGACUAUAGCUCCAUCAUCUUUUUCUUCUCGAGGACAGUAUGAACAUUACCAUGCCAUUUUUGACCAAAUGCAGCAACAAAGAGCAGAAGAUAAUGAAGCUAAAUGGAAAAGAGAAAUAUAUGGUCGAGGUCUUCCAGAAAGGUAUGGCUAUGUUCUGCAGAAGUUGCUUAUGCUUUGCUUCUGAGAUAGUAAUGAAAGUCACUGUGCAUAUUUAUCUACAGAGGAAUUCUGCCUGGAGUUCGUCCAGGAUUUCCUUAUGGGGCUGCAGGUCAUCACCAUUUUCCUGAUGCUGAUGAUAUUAGAAAAACUUUGAAAAGAUUGAAGGCGGUGUCUAAACAAGCCAAUGCAAACAGGUUGGACUGUGAUGAUCCAUGAAUUCAUCCAUGUGUGUAAUUUUGUCAUUUGUCAUACAUAGCUUAGUACCUACACUUUGUGGAUGUUUUCUCCAUUGUUCACAUAUGAUGUUUUUUGCCUCUUGGGUACAAUAAUUUUCUGAGGUGCAAAUUUGGCCCUUGAUUACUCUGUGGAAAGCAUGUAGCUUUCCAGUUCAGCCUGAUUUUUGUGUCUUGUUUGUGGGUUUAGACUGAAUAUACUAUUUAAAGGAACAUGUGAUAACAUUCUGCCAACAUAAUUAUAACAUUUUAUCACCCACUUGCUUUAAAUAAAUCAGGAUAUAAAUCUAAAUUGAAUCACACUUUAUGCAGAACCCCAGUGCAUUUUUCGCCCUUUUCUUCAUCACUUCAAAGCCUACUUUUCUCUUUGUUGUCUUAGCAUGCUUUCUCUUCACCUUCAUCUCUGAUUUAUAACUCUUUGUGAUCCUGUUCAUCAUAUUAUUUCUUUUCUUCCAUUGAAUUAAUAAUGGUAACUGAUUAAUAUGUACUUGAGCAGAGAUAAAUGAUUGAGGUAAAUAUAAAUUAACGUUUAUAUACACAUUAUAAAUUAUAUACAGAAGCCUGAUAUAUGAAGCAUCUAUUUUUUGAGAAAGGAAGUUUACAGACUUACACAUAUGCAUAUUUUUUAUGAAUAGUGAGACAAAUUUUGUGGGAGGCUUUUAUUCUCCAGAAUUAUUGAUCUUUCUACUAUAUAUAUUUUUUAAUUAGUAAACUUUAUUUUUAGAGCGAUUUGGGGUUCACAGCAAAAUGGAGUGGAAAGUACAGAGAGUUCCUAUGUACCACUUCCUCACACAUGCACAACCUCUGUAUUGACAUCCUCAUUUGAGUGAUAACGUUUGUUAUGAUCAAACAUCGAUCCAUUAUCACCCAAAGUCCAUAGUUUACAUUAGAGUUUACUCUUGGUAUUGUACACUCCAUGGCUUUUGACGAAUGUAUAAUUAUAGGUAUCCACCACUGUAAUAUCAUACAAAAUAAUGUGACUGCCUUCAAAAUCCCCUGUGCUCCACCUCCCUCCAACCUCCCUCCCAACUCUUGGCAACCACUGGUUGCUUUACUGCCUUCAUAGUUUUAGCUUUUCUAGAAUAUCAUAUACUUGGAAUCAUAUAGUAUGUGGCCUUUCACACUGGCUUUUCUCACUUACUAAUAUGCAUUUAAGGUGCCUCCGUAUAUCUUCAUAGUUUCAUACCUUAUUUCUUCUUAACACUAAUAUCCCAUUGUAUUUAUGUACCAUACUUUUUUUUUUUUUUUUUUUUUUUGGUAAUUUUUUUUUUUGAAACAGAUUCUUGUUCUAUCCCCAGGCUGGAGUGCAAUGGCAUGAUCAUGGCUCACUUGCAGCCUUGACCUCUGGGGCUUAAGUGACCCUCCCACCUCAGCCUCCUGAACAGCUGGGACUACAGGUGCUUGCCACCAUGUGUGGCUGAUUUUUUAAAUUUUUUGUAGAAUGGAGUCUUGCUAUGUUGCCCAGGCUGGUCUUGAACUCCUGGGUUCAAGCAGUCCUCCUGCACUGGCCUCCCAAAGUGCUGGGAUUACAAGCGUGAGCCACCAUGCCCAGCCAGAAUGGAUGUACUACACUUUAUCCGUUAUUCUACUGAAGGACAUCUUGGUUGCUUUUAAGUUAUGGCAAUUAUGAAUAAAGCUUCUGCAAAC